CGUCGUUUGCCAGCAGCUGCUAACUGCUCAGUGACCGCCAGUGGUGUGAUAACUUUAAUAGGUGAAUAGUAUGUCUGGCGGCUGGAGUAGGCUUCUUACCUUAGAUUGGGUUUCCUUCAUACUCAAGACAAGGAGGAGUCAUUCACGUGGUGUGGACCCAGCAAACCCGGAGCCACUCAGCCGCCGCUACACCUCAUCCGACAAGGUCCUGGAAACUGUGCCCUCGAUGCCUGCCCCCAGGAGCGCCUCACCUUCUGUAGUCUUCGGUCAUAAACGCGUGCGAGUCGAACGAGGGCACCACUGGUCUUGACGGCACCAGCGAUCAGCAGGCAUGCCAGCGCAGUCCGAGUGAGGGAACCACCGUCACGACGACCCCCACCACAACUCCCAUAACAAGCGCUACUUCCAAAAAUACCACGACGCUGGAGUGGAACGACAUCUACUACGAAGAGUCGAAAAACACAUGGAGUGAUGCCCGGGAAAAAUGCAGGAAGAGAGGCGGAGACCUGCUAGUGACUGAUGACAUCCGUGCGCUGUCGAAGUACAUAAAGCAAAAUGUUGGAAGAGAAGUGGUGUGGCUCGGCGCCCGCGGCAACUCCUGGCUGAACGGCCCGCCCUGUCAUGAACGACGUGGGAAGCUCUGAUGAGAGCUCCGACGACUGCAUCGCACUGAAGUAUGACGAGUUGAAUGCCGAAAACUGUAACAAGGUCCUCGUUUCACUCUGCAUACUGACCAUCCAGUACCCCAAGUGAGGCCCAGGACGUGCUUCAGGCAUGGCAGGGGCGUGGCGUGCGGUAUGUGAUGGCUGGCAGUCAGGCUGCAGCGAACAACAGAUAUAAAGCCAUGCUUAAAUUUUAGAAAUAUACGUUGAAAAAAAUUAUCUCUCUUACUUGUCCUUU